rnacentral:lncRNA from 1 species
AGCAUCAAUGUCUCUGUGGCUAUUGCGGCAGUUGAGAUGGGACAGUUCACCUCACAAUCACACCCCAGCAGUUCAGAAACUAUCCGAGGGUAUCACAAACCUUUUAAAAUGAACUGAUCCUCCAGCAUCAAAGUCAGAGGGAGAUUUUGCUCAGGCUUCUGCAGGAACAUCGUCAAGGCCUGGAUUUUGAUUUGGGAACUACCAGACUUUCCAAAAUGUAUUCCAAAGAAAUGCAGAGAUAGAUUCCCGACCGGCAUUAAUCAGUGCUGAUUAAGUCAUGGAGCUACGCAAUUUCUGCCUGGCAAGUGGACCAUUUGCUCCUCAUCCUGUGACUCAGAUCACAGUGACAGAUACCUGGCACCCUAGAUGGGUUCCCUCCAACCCAGGAGAGGAGCGUUUAUUGCUCUUACCCAAAC